AUGUGCAUUAUAAAGGCAUGACAACUUUUUAACAUAGUAAUCGCGUUGUCCGAGAAAAUUUCCAUAGCAGAUUUCAAAGAGUAUAUACAUCUCCGGGAACGAGAAUGCAUGCGGCAAAUACUAAAAAGGUAAACAAAAAAAAAACAGUAGCUUAAAUGGAACUUCAGUCAUCUCUUCAACUUCAUCUUUGUACGGGGCAGGAACUAGGCUUUGUCUCACAUGCCUAGUAUAUGCUCUAAACAGGAUUGGAUAAUGAAUUCUCAACAAAGACAGUGAAAAUUUGAACAGUUGCCAUCAAAAUACUGAGGACUAUAAACAGAAGCAAUGGAGGCUUGUGUAGUCACUUCCAAUAGCUAAUGAGGAGUCAUUUUCAGGUUUUCCACUAGCCUGAUCAACGUAUCUCACCGCUUUGUCUGUUGCUUCUGCUACUGCCAAGAGGGGCAGAACUCUGACUUGAGAGUUGCACAUCAGAUAACGAGAUAGAACCACCUUGUGAGAAAAUUAGACCGACAGAAGUACCAGAAGAAGGUAUUCUGGCUGAAAGGGAUUCCUUUUUGGACCCGGACAUCAGUUCAGGCCGAGGCUCUGAAGAUGUUGUAGAAGGAGCCAGUUGAGACAGCAAAGACCCCACCGGGUAUGGAGUAACUGGCACAUCAAUGAAAGAAGAUACCGAUGGACUGUAGCUCAAAGAUCCCAAAGGAUGGUCAAAUUUGCAUGUGGAGCCAAACUUGCA
rnacentral:sRNA from 1 species